UACGAAGGGGGCUAGCGUUGCUCGGAAUCACUGGGCGUAAAGGGCGCGUAGGCGGCCGAUUAAGUCGGGGGUGAAAGCCUGUGGCUCAACCACAGAAUUGCCUUCGAUACUGGUUGGCUUGAGACCGGAAAGAGGACAGCGGAACUGCGAGUGUAGAGGUGAAAUUCGUAGAUAUUCGCAAGAACACCAGUGGCGAAGGCGGCUGUCUGGUCCGGUUCUGACGCUGAGGCGGCGAAAAGCGUGGGGAGCAAACAGG
rnacentral:rRNA from 1 species